GACGAACGCUGGCGGCGUGCUUAACACAUGCAAGUCGAACGAUGAACUUGGAGCUUGCUCUGGGGGAUUAGUGGCGAACGGGUGAGUAACACGUGAGUAACCUGCCCUGGACUCUGGGAUAACUUCGAGAAAUCGGAGCUAAUACCGGAUAGGACCUUGCACCGCAUGGUGUGGGGUGGAAAGUUUUUCGGUUUGGGAUGGACUCGCGGCCUAUCAGCUUGUUGGUGAGGUAAUGGCUCACCAAGGCGUCGACGGGUAGCCGGCCUGAGAGGGUGACCGGCCACACUGGGACUGAGACACGGCCCAGACUCCUACGGGAGGCAGCAGUGGGGAAUAUUGCACAAUGGGCGCAAGCCUGAUGCAGCAACGCCGCGUGCGGGAUGACGGCCUUCGGGUUGUAAACCGCUUUCAGUAGGGAAGAAGCCUUCGGGUGACGGUACCUGCAGAAAAAGGACCGGCUAACUACGUGCCAGCAGCAGCCGCCGUAA
rnacentral:rRNA from 1 species